GUCUAUGGCCAUGCCACCUUGAACGUGCCAAUCUCGUCUGAUCUUGGAAGCUAAGCAGAGUUGAGCCUAGUUAGUACUUGGAUGGGAGACCACCUAGGAAUACCAGGUGCUGUAGGUG
rnacentral:rRNA from 1 species